CCGGCGAUUAGGGGCUGCUACACAUGCAAGUCGAGCGGUAAGGCCCUUUCGGGGGUACACGAGCGGCGAACGGGUGAGUAACACGUGGGUGACCUGCCCUCCACUCUGGGAUAAGCCCGGGAAACUGGGUCUAAUACCGGAUAGGACCACUGAUCGCAUGGUUGGUGGUGGAAAGUUUUUUCGGUGGGGGAUGGGCCCGCGGCCUAUCAGCUUGUUGGUGGGGUGAUGGCCUACCAAGGCGGUGACGGGUAGCCGGCCUGAGAGGGCGACCGGCCACACUGGGACUGAGACACGGCCCAGACUCCUACGGGAGGCAGCAGUGGGGAAUAUUGCGCAAUGGGCGGAAGCCUGACGCAGCGACGCCGCGUGGGGGAUGACGGCCUUCGGGUUGUAAACCUCUUUCGCCAGGGACGAAGAGCAAUUGACGGUACCUGGAGAAGAAGCACCGGCCAACUACGUGCCAGCAGCCGCGGUAACACGUAGGGUGCGAGCGUUGUCCGGAAUUAUUGGGCGUAAAGAGCUCGUAGGCGGUGUGUCGCGUCGGCCGUGAAAACUUGGGGCUUAACUCUGAGCGUGCGGUCGAUACGGGCAUCACUUGAGUUCGGCAGGGGAGACUGGAAUUCCUGGUGUAGCGGUGAAAUGCGCAGAUAUCAGGAGGAACACCGGUGGCGAAGGCGGGUCUCUGGGCCGAUACUGACGCUGAGGAGCGAAAGCGUGGGGAGCGAACAGGAUUAGAUACCCUGGUAGUCCACGCCGUAAACGUUGGGCGCUAGGUGUGGGGACCAUUCCACGGUUUCUGUGCCGCAGCUAACGCAUUAAGCGCCCCGCCUGGGGGAGUACGGCCGCAAGGCUAAAACUCAAAGGAAUUGACGGGGGGCCCGCACAAGCGGCGGAGCAUGUGGAUUAAUUCGAUGCAACGCGAAGAAACCUUACCUGGGUUUGACAUGCACCAGACAUCCCUAGAGAUAGGGCUUCCCUUGUGGUUGGUGUGCAGGUGGUGCAUGGCUGUCGUCAGCUCGUGUCGUGAGAUGUUGGGUUAAGUCCCGCAACGAGCGCAACCCUUGUUCCAUGUUGCCAGCACGUAAUGGUGGGGACUCAUGGGAGACUGCCGGGGUCAACUCGGAGGAAGGUGGGGAUGACGUCAAGUCAUCAUGCCCCUUAUGUCCAGGGCUUCACACAUGCUACAAUGGCUCAUACAGAGGGCUGCGAGACCGUGAGGUGGAGCGAAUCCCUUAAAGUGAGUCUCAGUUCGGAUCGGGGUCUGCAACUCGACCCCGUGAAGUUGGAGUCGCUAGUAAUCGCAGAUCAGCAACGCUGCGGUGAAUACGUUCCCGGGCCUUGUACACACCGCCCGUCACGUCACGAAAGUUGGUAACACCCGAAGCCGGCGGCCCAACCCUUGUGGAGGGAGCUGUCGAAGGUGGGACUGGCGAUUGGGACGAAGUCGUAACAAAGUAGCCUCACCCCAAGGAU
rnacentral:rRNA from 1 species